AUACAAAUAUGUGUAUUUUAUUGCAGUAAAAGCUAACAGUAUUAUGAUAUUUACAGUUAAAAUGCCAUGCAGAUGUUGGAAAAUAAAACCAUUUCUCAAAUUCUCACACUUUAUUUAGAUUUAAUUCCUAUUACAUUAUGGUUCAUACAUACAUAUUUGAUGUGAAAUUAAAGCCAAAUUUUUCCUGAACAAAAUGAUAUAUAAUAAGUGCGACUGCACUUAAAAUAAGAGAGGUAAAUUAUGGGUGAACAGACAUAUAGCUCAAAUUCUAGGUUUUGAUUUGUUUCAGAACUUGGGCAAUUUCCUCCAUCCUUAAGAGGUUAAAGGAGGAAUGUAUCAUAUUUUAGUAUUUUAAUACUGCUAAUUUAGGUAUCUUCUGGGAUUCAGUGAUUUGAAGCACUCCACUAUUUAAACUGAUUUAGGAUGUUUAAGAUGUGCAUAAGAAAGGUAAACGUAUAGUGUUUUAAAGCUGCAGACAAAAUCUUUUUUAUAUAUUUUCAAUAUUUGUCACUUUGGAAAUGCCUGGGAUUGUAACUCUUGUUUUCGGAUUGCUUCAUUAUGUUGGUUACUUCUCAGCUUCAAUUACAGCAACCCAUUAUGGAGAGCUGUGGGUGAUCUGCCAAUACAAAUAUAUUAAAAGAAAAACCUCCCAAUAAUCUCAAGUGGUUUAGGACAGGUGUGCAUGUGUAAUUGAUAAAUAUGUGCAUGGAUAAUAUCAGUAGCUACAUGUUAUGGAAUUCUAAAAUAUGAUCUGCCUGUUGAAAUAAGGAGUAGGUCAGUUAAUAUACACAAUGGGGUGCUGUGGAUAGAUGUAGCUCUGGUGGUUCUGCAAAAAGGUUUCUUCCAACUUCUUUUUGUCGUCUUCCCCCUUCCAUGUCCUUGUACGGUCCUUGUACAUCCAAAAUGUUUCUCACUUUAAUUUUCCUCCUUUCUUUAUUUACAAUGUUCCAUUAGUGUGUGAACAAACUUAUCACUGUUGAAUAAAGAAAAACAAUGUCUCUCCUUUGGAACUGAUCAUAAAUAGAGCAGAGGUAAAAUAUUUUUCCAGGAUAAGGACUAGCAAAUUACAUAUUUAAAUAUAUAUAGAUUCAGUAAAUUUGCAGCCCACCACACACACACCUUGCACUACUUCCAAACUAUGGAUAAUUUAGGAUCCAGGCAAUCCAACACAUUAGAUAACCAAGCUCCCUUAGUCUCCCUGGUAUGAGAGUUAAAGGUUUACUUCAACCCCUUUGUUAUACAUCUCAUUUUCACUUUUCAAUGCUCUGUUGGGCAUUAGCAAUUAGAUCCCCCCCUGUAAACUAAGCAUAAACUUACCUGGAAUGCAGAGCCGGGUGAAGACUCUGCAAUGGUUUCCAAACUACUGUCAAUGUCACCGCCUCUCUCGCGAGGUCCAAUCAAAUGCUUCUCACAGAGAAGCAUUUGGUUGGACUCUUCUCCUUGGCCAAGAGUACAUGUGCACACUCUGAGACAAGAAGGUGAGGGAGAAAGAGGCGGUGGGAUUUAAAGCAAAAAUGAAAAAACAGUCAAACACUAAACAGAGAGGAGGGACACUAAAACUUUCAGUUGUAAGCGCUAUGCAUGUAAUUUUUGCACAUGAUUGAUUUAAGACAGCCUGAAACAGAGUACUGAGCUACGGGUGCCGGGGGUUUAACUAGUCCUCCGCAGAAAAGGGCAGAUAUCUCUGGAUGUGCAGUGUUUUAAGUAGAAACGCUGCACAUACAGACUCCUACCACCAUGACCACUUCUAAAUGCAGAAGUGGCUAUGGUGGCUGGAGUCAUCCUUUAGUCUUGCAAUAUAAUUUAGCAGGGAGGGAUAGUUUAUACUUUGUGAAUGAAGUAUAGCUGAUAGUGCCUAUAUCAUUCCUUCUACAACCAAGAUCACUAAUGGCCUCUUUAAUGACACUGUUAGAUUAAACAUUGAAAAUCGCUGCUAAAUUAUGUUAAUCUUCUUUUCUGUCUACGCUGACUGACAGGUGCAAACAGCAGAGUUUAGAGCAAUUAUAUAUCAGAUUGAGGGGCUGUGUUCCCAGAUAAAAGUAAAUACACCUUCCGACAGCACUUACCUUCUGUUAUUUUAUUCUAAUCUGUACUCACUUACUCUGCUACUGUUAAGAAUAAAUUGUCUUGCCAGGCACAUUUGUUAUUAUCAAUCUAUGUGUUUUAGUAUUGCCGGUGUGUUAGGCUCAUACAGCUGACCUUUGCUUAACAUGUUUUAUUAAUUAUCUACUAUAGGUGGAACUGAUAACUCCCUAACCAUAGCUAGGUAUUAAUUUACUAUCCACCAUGUGCAUUUCAAUACAAAUCUGGCUUACUAUCUUUACCCACUACCACUGUAUUACUGGGAGCUUCGAUGUGUCCUCUUAGCCUAUAUACUAUAACUGUAAAAUGAGGCAGCCAUGUCUUGGAGGAUAUAUCAAUGUAUGUUUCAUUACAAAUUGGAUGUAUGACGAUUUAAUAUGUAUCCCCAUCUUCUUUUCUGUACCCAACUUACCUAUGCCUCAAUAAAAGAAAGAUUUACAAAAAAAGUAAAUACAGGUGUGUGAUUUUCUAUAAUUUUUUUUCUCUCAAUUUCAGGGCUUACAAACAGAUAUGUUAAAUAUAGAGGAUAAGUCAACAACAAUAUAUUAAAAUAUUAUUGUUGUAUAUAUUAUUAAAUAUUAAAAUCUUGGGAAUGUUUUGUUUAUAUUUACGAGCUCUAUUCCAGACCACUUAUCUUGAUCAAUACAUGUUGGGUAUUUAACUAGGUUUUGCUCUUGCCCACUUUGGUAAAUUAGAUGAAUAAUCAAGUCAUAUAUAUUUCAAUGGAUUCAUGAACUAAAAUAGAAUUUUUAAUUAUGUCCGUUCUGGCCGAGACCCUUUCAUGACAACUGCUACUCUUCUGAAACCAUAAAAGUGAUAGAAAAAGAAACCAUAAGAAAAAGGUUUGUUGGAUUUCCUCUUUCAUAUUUUCACGACAUACAAUGACCCAAUGCCCUGUCUGGUGCCAUAUUAUACAUAUGAAAACCUGUCUGAAGCGUGGGCAUGGUUAGACUUUGAUGUGGUAAAGGGGAAUUCAGAUAUGUUGAUUUACACCACAGAUUUCCCGCAGAUAAAUUUAUGUGGAACGUUAAGGAGAGAAAUGCCAUACUCAUAUUACACACAUUACUGUAUGCUGCGACGAUCUCAGCAGACCUAGACAAGAUAUGGUACAAGAUGCACUUUAUCUCUGAAAUAAGCAGAACAGGAACCAGCAUAGUUUGAGCUCUUGAUUGUAAAUAGAUAACCUACUAAUGGAACGUGCAACUAUUGGUAUAAGUAGACCCUUCACCUAGGGAAAAAAAACAAAUUUGUUCCACAUUUAUUUGUAUUUAUGCAGACACCUAGGUACUUCUGUGUAUUUUGUUACACUUAUUAUUCUACAAUAUAACUGUAUAUUGUUUACGGGUGGUUGAACUUUCAUGGUAUAUUUUUCUUGUAUAUAACUAAUAACUGUACAAUAUUUGCUUAAAAAAGUUAUUUGUAUUGGAAUGCUAUCACAGUCUUUAGUUAUCCUGGGGUUUAUUCUACAUUCUGAAAACUCAACAGUUCGGUUGUGAUCAAUAUAUUAAAUAAUAAUGUUAGAUAGAAGAAGCAAAAAACAAAAACGUUUCUGAAGUAUGUUUUUACAGCAGAUCUAGCCCAUACCUUUCAACAUGUAAAAUAGAAAAAAGGGACACAUUAAUUUUAGGAGUGUGAGUGGGUGUUCUGCGAAAUUUUAGGUGACAUAAAAACAGCAAUUAUUAUUAUAUCUUAUUUACACAGACUGAUUUCUAAACACAUUUAUUGCAUUUUAAAGACACAUUACUGUAUUAAUGAUGUGAUGUUCUGGAAUACACUCAAGACACACAAACAAUACUGAUCCCCUAUGAAAGAGGGACCUUAGGACAGAAAAUAAGGGAGGGGGUCUUUUCUUAACACUUGGGACAAUUGGGAGGUGUAUAUGGAGCCGAAUGUUGUUACCUCUAGCUGUAGAACGACCCUAACCCAUAUACACAGCCUGCUUUAACCACUUCACUACCAAGAACAUUUUGUUUGAAAAAAUAUUAGCAUUAUUUGAAACAAAGGAUGCAUAACUAACACAUAUAGUACAAAAACUAUUUUGUGUACAUAUUGGUUUUCAGACAAAUUUAAAAAGUUAAAUUAUGAAAAUGUAUACAAUUUUUAUAUUUAAUUUCAUCCUGUAUUGACGUUUCUGAGGAAUGAAGAACAUUAGAUAGUAUACAGUGUCCUUUAUCUUGCAAUAUUUCUGAAAUAGUGAUAUAAUAGUAUACAUACAGAAGGGGUGACAAAAUUAAAUAAAUAAACAUGUUCAAAUAGCUUGCUUGGUAAAUAACCUACAGGCGCUACUAACAGUACAGCUUAUUGAAAAUGUCAGGAGAAUCUAAAAUUAAUGAAUGAGCAAAAUUCCAACACACAAUACUUCAUAUUAAAUAAUAUAUUUCUAAAAUAAAGGUAAUUAUCACUUCCAAUAAAAAAACAAACAAACAAACAAAAAAAAACAGUGUCAUCAAUUCCUUCACAGGUAUCAACAAAAAUAUAAAUCACUAGAAUAACUAGUAUAAUAAAAAAAAAGCUAUGUACAUGAAAAAGUCAAGACAUUGGGUCAAAAGUGGCUUAUAAAAGAAAAAACAAUAAACAACAAGAGCUUAGUGUGUGUAUAGAGAGGGACAGGAAUGAGCCAGUAACCUGCUAUAAGGUAACUGACAUUAUGAUUUGAAAGAGUCCACAUCAGCAGUUCCCAAUCUGUGCGCGAGGAACUAUGCCUCGUUGUAGUAGCCAACAGGUUAUAAAAGCUACCUGUGUACUGUCCAGCACAUGCACUCCAAUGCUUACACCUCGAUGAAGUCCACAGAAUCUGGAAUGUCAAAGGUUGCCUACCCCUAUACUAGACCAUUCGUUCUCGGCAGGCAGGUAUACCUCCAAGCUCUGCAAGGGCUUCUUCUGCGUUUACAACCAAUCACAGUUAUGGUAUCGUCACUGUGCCAAACUUCUGCCAAUGUGUUUUAUCUGAACUCCAGACUUUCUAACCUAAGGACGUUCUUUUAGGAGUCUGUUAAAGGACCACUAAAGUGCCAGGAAAAUAUACUCGUUUUUCCUGGCACUAUAGUGCCCUGAGGGUGCCCCCACCCUCAGGGCCCCACUCCCGCCGGGCUCUGGGGAGAGGAAAGGGGUUAAACUUACCUUUUUUCCAGCGCCGGGCAGUGAGCUCUCCUCCUCCUCUCCGCCUCCGAUCCUCCUCUUCGGCUAAAUCCGCAUGCGCGGCAGGAGCUGCGUGCGCAUUCAGCCAGUCUCAUAGGAAAGCAUUCAUAAUGCUUUCCUAUGGACGCUGGCGUCUUCUCACUGUGAUUUUCACAGUAAGAAGCACGCAAAUGCCUCUAGCCAGUGGCGUCUCUAGGAUUCAUUUUUAGGGGGGACACAUGGAGGGCCAGGAACAAAAGUAGGGGGGCACAUUUAACCCCGCCCUCGCCGCAGUUUCACCCCGCCCCUGUUGCAUGUUAAGCCCCGCCCCCGACACAAUGUGUUUUGUUUUUUUAAUAAUCCCUCGUGGAGGAUUCAUUAUUUUCCACCAGGGAUUAUUAAAAAACAAACACAUUACCCUUGAUAGAGUGCCAUAGUUGCCAACAUUUAAAAAAAAUUUCCAAGGACAUUUUGCAGCACAGCUAUCAAUUACUGUCUGGGUAUAAUAUCCCUGGACAGUCAGUGCUCUCUGUAUAAUACAGAGUUGUGUGUAAAAUAAAUUGGGACACUCAGUGCUCCCUGUAUAGUGCUGCUCUCUGUAUAAUACAGGUCUGUUUGUGUAUAAUAUCCCAAGACAGAGAGCAGCACUAUAGAGGGAGCACUGAAUGUCCCGGGAUAUUAUACAGGCACAGGCCUGUAUUAUACAGAGAGCAGCACUAUACAGGAAGCACUGACUAUCCCGGUAUAUUAUAUACACACAGAUCUGUAUUAUACAGAUAGCUGAGCAUAUACCCCAUGUCCCAAUCUCUAGACUACUAGUACCUGUCAACAGCAGCUCCCAGACGCGUGUAACAGGGCUAAAGUGUGCAGCAGCUCACACAGAUGAUUCAGCAGUAAAGUGCACUCGCUGGCAGAGCCAAACUGGGAAUCCAAAGCAGCCCUGGAAAAAAAAAUUGUGCCAUUCCUACAAGUCAAUAUAUAUAUAUAUAUAUAUAUAUAUAUAUAUAGUACAGUAAGCACACAAGCUCACUUACAUGCGCAAAUAGGCGUACUGACAGACAAAACUCUCUGACUCACACACAAGCUUACUACAGACAAACUCACUUGUAUAAACAGAAGGCUCACUACAAAGAAGUUCAGACACACACACAAGCUCACUGACACACACAUGCUCACUAAAUAGAAGCUCACUGACACAGUCAGUACCAUUUUAACAGAGUUAAGGGCUCCCGGGCAAAGCAAUGCACUGGGGCCCUUCCUACACAACAACUCACAGGAAUUUUAAUUAUUGAUAGACUGCUGAGUCCAUACACACACAGACUGCUGAGUCCAUACACACACACACACACACACAGACUGCUGAGUCCACACACAGACACACACUGCUGAGUCCAUACACACACACGUGCUGAGUCCACACACACACACAGACUGCUGAGUCCAUACACACACACACAGAGACUGCUGAGUCCAUACACACACACAGACUGCUGAGUCCAUACACACACACACAUACAUACACACAGACUGCUGAGUCCAUGCACACACACAUAGACUGCUGAGUCCAUACACACACAUACAUACACACAGACUGCUAUGUCCAUACACACAUAUACACACACACAGAGACUGCUGAGUCCAUGCACACACACACAGACUGCCAAGUCCAUACACACUCACAGACUGCUGAGUAAAUACACACACACACACACACACAGACUCUGCCGAGUCCGUACCCACACAGACUGCUCUGUCCAUACACACACAGACUGCUGAGUCCAUACACACACACACAGACUGCUGAAUCCACACACAGACACACACUGCUGAGUCCAUAAACACACACACACACAGACUGCUGAGUCCACACACACACAUACAUACACUGCUGAGUCCAUACACACACUCACAUACUGCUGAGUCCAUACACACACACACAGACUGCUGAGUCCAUACACACACACACAGACUGCUGAGUCCAUACACACACAUACACACACACAGACUGCUGAGUCCAUGCACACACACAUAGACUGCUGAGUCCAUACACACACAUACAUACACACAGACUGCUAUGUCCAUACACACAUAUACACACACACAGAGACUGCUGAGUCCAUGCACACACACACACAGACUGCCGAGUCCAUACACACUCACAGACUGCUGAGUAAAUACACACACACACACACACAGACUCUGCCGAGUCCGUACCCACACAAACUGCUCUGUCCAUACACACACAGACUGCUGAGUCCAUACACACACACACACACAGACUGCUGAAUCCACACACAGACACACACUGCUGAGUCCAUAAACACACACACACAGACUGCUGAGUCCACACACAUACAUACACUGCUGAGUCCAUACACACACUCACAUACUGCUGAGUCCAUACACACACACACACACACACAGACUGCUGAGUCCAUACACACACACACAGACUGCUGAGUUCAUACACACACACAGACGGCUGAGUUCAUACACACACGCGACAAAAAAUACAACACAAAGAAGGCUUCUAAAUGUCCCACACAUUUUAGCGUAGGACCCACCAACAUUGGGGUACUUUGAAAGCAGUGGUGGGCUUAACAUCAUAUGGCCAUAUGGUGGAACUAAAUCCCCAUAUUUAUUCUUAGAUAGGAAAUUUAGAAGCCUUUUUGUGUUAUAUUUUUUUUCGUAGUCUGAGUGCGCCGGAAAUAAUUUUUCUUUUCAUGUAUGAAGUUUGGUCACUGCGGCAGCACCUUUCAUGCAAAAUGCAGGUCUCGGGUGUGCCCCCAGUCCUUUCUCUGAAUGUGUUUAUCUGCCUGUAACUGUGUAUGUGUGUAACUGCCCGUACCUGUAUGUUUCUACCUGAUCCUGUGUAUGUGACUAUCUGCCUGUGACUGUGUGCAUGUGUCUGUAUUUAACAGUGUAUAUGUAUAACUGUGUGCAUCUGACUGUGGGACUCACACAUAGGCCUAAAAACAUAUUUUUAGCUGAAUUAAAUACCCAUCACACACAGCCAACUAACCCAGCAAAAAUAUCACCUACGACCAAUACAAGCAUAUCACACAGUCAAUCCACCCAUUACAAAUAUCACACAUAGCCAACACAUAGCAUACAUCAGUGGCGGAUCCAGGGGGGGGGCAACGGGGCAAUUGCCCCCCCGAGAAAUCCGACGGUCUCCCUCCCCUGCCAGCAGCACAUGCAGGUGCUAGCCCUGCAAUGUGCCUGCGGACCGGGGGGAGAUCAGAGCUCUCCCUCCCCGGUCCGCAGGCACUGUGCUUACAGCCGGCAGGGGAGGGAGGGAGGGAGAGAGGACCCGGGAGCUCAGCCUGCAGCUCCUCCGGGUCCUCCUCUCGCGAGAUUUGAAGCGUUGCCGCGGUUACCACGGCAACUUUUCAAAUCUCGCGAGAGUGAACUCUAACCCGGGAGCGUGGGCUAGAGUUCACUGUCCCCGCUGGGACCACCAGGGAAUCCCCCACUGGGAUCACCAGGGAUCGAAAUAUGUCCCCCCUCCUCCCAGUAAAGGUAAGAAGGGAGGGGGGACAUAGGAUAUUUAUUUUAAUUAAAUUAAAAAAAUAUAUAUUAUAAAAAAAAAAAGCCACACACACACAUUGCCCCCAAUACUGCCCCCCCCAUUCACACAAACUGCCCCUCAUUCACACAAACUGCCCCCCCAUUCACACAAGCUGCCCCUAUACACACAUACUGCCCCCUAUACACACACAUACAGCCCUCUAUACACACAUACUGCCCCCACACACAUACAGCCCCCCAUCCACACACACACUGCCCCCCAUCCACACACACUGCCCCCACACACACACUGCCCCCCACAUACACAAACUGCCCCCAUACACACACACUGCCCAUCAUACACACACACUGCCCAUCAUACACACACACUGCCCCUCAUACACAUACACUGGCCCCCAUACACACAUACUUCCCCACAUACACACAUACUGCCCCACAUACACACAUACUGCCCCACAUACACACAUACUGCCCCCCAUACACACACACACUGCCCCCAUACACACACAAACUGCCCGCCAUACACACAAACUGCCCUCAUACGCACAAACUGCCCCUCAUACACACGCACUGCCCCUCAUACACACGCACUGCCCCUCAUACACACAUACUGCCCCCCAUACACACACAUACUGCCCCCCCAUACACACACUGCCCCCCAUACACACACACUGCAACUGUUACACACACAUACUGUCCCACACAUACACUGCAUCCCUGACAUACACUGCCGCCCUCACUCACACACUGCAACCUUCACACACACACUGCACCCCUUACACAUUGCACCACUCACACACACCACUGCUCCUAUGCCCUACUACAGCCCCAUUCCCAGCAGAUCUCAGGUAAGUUGUCAAACUGUUCUUAAACUGUUUGACUACUUACUGUGGAAGGGGGUCCCGGCACUAUUGACACCAUAACCACUACACUGAGCUGUAGUGGUUAUUGUGUCUGGAUUAUUUCUUUAAAUAAUCUACAAGUGCCCCUCCCGAGAUCAGGCUCUGGAUCUGCCACUGGCAUACAUAUCACACACAGUCAUCACACCUGUCACAUACACAGAUAAAACACAAACAUUACAUCACAUUAUAGUGAGAUGUAUUACAGUGGAGCUCUGGUAUAUAAAAUGCACAUUACUCUGUGUUUUAUAGUUAGGGAGCUCGGUGAUACACUAAUAGGCACAUUACUUGGAGUUGUAUUGUUGUGUAGUGUUUGAGCUUGUCACAGAGUUCCACAUUACCGUGAGUUUUAUUGUUGUGGAGUUCUGUAAUAAACCGGCACACACCACAUAGUACUGUGAGGGCUUUUUGUUUCUGUGGAGCUCAGUGAUAAAUGGAGAAACAGCGCAUUACUACAAAUUUUUAUUCCAAAGAGGUCAAGGUAAAUAAGUAUAAUCCACAGCUCACAAGCAAAACCACACACAGUAUUGUGUGACAUACUUAGUCUGCUCCUCUGUAAUGUAGGGGAGGCAGUCUGGCACUUCUGACCUGCACUUCUGUUGGCUGCAGACCAUAAGUAGCGGUCUUACUAGCUCGGGCCAAUCAGAGUGCUGCCAUAGAUUACCACAGGACACUGCAAGUCCCUAAGCUUGCGAGACAGUUACGCAUGGUCUGCACUCAGUGGAGGGGCAGACCAGAUUCAGAUCAGCAUGCCCCUCUCCAAACUAGGUAACAACCAUAGGCGUGCGCACGGGGUGUGCCUGGGCCUAUGUAUAUUGAGACUGGCAGGGGAGAUCUCAGGAUCCCCCGUCGGCUCAUGCAGAGCCGACGCUAUCCAAGCGCCGGCUCUGCUCUCAGCCUCCCUCCCUACCGACCCACAUGCAGGGAGGGAGGCAGGAGAGGACCGGCGGAGCUCUUGCCAGUAGCUCCGCCGGGUUCCUCUCGCGAGAUAUGAGCGUUGCCACGGCAAUGCUCAAAUCUUGCGAGAGUGAACUCUAGCCCCACAGGGGCUAGAGUUCACUCUCCACUGGACCACCAGGGAUGGAAGCAGCAGGAACAAGGAUCCCACCUCCCAGGCAUAAGGUAAGAAGGGAGGGGGGAUAGCAAGUAAUGUUCCCCCACCUCCACCCCCACAAUCACCCACACACAUACAGCACACACACCCUCACAUACAGCACACACAGACAUAUACAGCACCCACAGACAUACACAGCACCUACACACAUACAGCACCCACAGACAUACACAGCACCUACACACACACACCGCACCCACAGACAUACACAGCACCCACACACACACACACUGCACCCACAGACAUACAGCACCUACACACAUACAGCACCCACAGACAUACACAGCACCUACACACAUACAGCACACACAUACAGCAUCCACAGACAUACACAGCACCCACACACAUACAGCACCAAUAGACAUACACAGCACCUACACAUAUACACAGCACCCACAGACAUACAGCACCCACAGACAUACAGCACACACAUACAGCACCCACACACAUACAGCACCAACACACAUACACAGUAGGGAUCGACCGAUUAUCGGUCUGGCCGAUAUUAUCGGCCGAUAUUUGGUAUUUUCGGCAAUAUCGGUAUCGGCCAAUUCAGAUACCGAUAUUGCCGAUAAUAUAUAACAGGACCGCCGGGCCCGGCCCACAAACCCGGCGGUCCUGUAGGCUCAGCAGCAAAGCGCGGCACCCACCUGCUUAGCUCCUGCAGCUCUGUAUAAAUCUCGCGAGACGCUGGCCUUGAAGGCGUUACCCGCAGACCGCCAGCAGCGGCGCUCAGCAGCGUACCGACGGGUACGCAGACUGAGCUGCACAAAUAAUCCCGCUAACCACUGUGCCGCUCAAAACCACUGGACCAGGGAAUACUAUAUCCCCCUCCCUGGUAAGAAGCAGGGAGGGGGGACUAAACAAAAAACAUUUCAAUAUUAAAAAAAUAUUAAAAUAAAAAAUUACACAAAUUACAUCACUACACACACACUGCACACAUACUGCAUUACAUACACACUACACAAACACACACUACACAAACACACACUGGGGGGGGACUAAACAAAAAAAAAAACAUUUAAAUAUUAAAAAAAAUUAAAAUAAAAAUUACACAAAUUACAUCACUACACAAACACACACUACACAAACACACACUGCACACAUACUGCAUUACAUACACACACUGCAUUACAUACACACUACACAGGCACACACACUGCAUUACAUACACACACUACACAGACANNNNNNNNNNNNNNNNNNNNNNNNNNNNNNNNNNNNNNNNNNNNNNNNNNNNNNNNNNNNNNNNNNNNNNNNNNNNNNNNNNNNNNNNNNNNNNNNNNNNCAUUGAUAAAGCCCUAUAUUGGCGAAACGCGUUUGGAUAUUUUUACUGUUUUAUAUACUGUUAAUAAAAGAUUUUGGUCAUUUUUACGUUUAAACCAUCAUCUUUUCUAUUACCUGGCUAUUUUAUAAACAUUUUAUAUACGUUUUAUAUACAUUUUAUACUAUAUACUUCUUUUAUUAUUUUUUUAAAGUCCUGAAAACUAUACUCCAAGAAUCCCAGGUGGGGAUCAUACCACCCACGCUGUUACAUAGAGCAGUUAGCCUGCCCUAUACAUUGUGAGUAUAUUUUAUCUAUUUUAUUUUAUUAUCAAGAUUUUAUUGAGAGCACUAUUGCUGUUUUACUUUCUCUCUGAGCUCCUGAUAUUCCGGUCAAGAUCACUCAUCAUAUAUCCUAGAAGCGGGGAUGAUACCGCUGUACGCCUAACCAACUAGAGCUAGUCAAAGCUCUACCGAAUGUGAGUGUAUCCAUCAUAUUUUAUAUAAUUUUUUAUACAAGUGUAGAAUAUACUGCACCAUUACUGUUUUUAUUUUAUUUUUCCCAACUUCGACCACCCGGCACUACAAAGAAGAGGACACCUGCCGUAUAUCCUAUAAGCGGGGAUAAUACCGCUGCAAGCUAUCCACACCAGAGCUGGAUUAAGCUCUGCAAAUUGUAAGUAAGAUCUUUCCUAUUUUUCACAUAUUUGGACUACUCUCCACGACACCGACAUCUUCUGGAUACCACCAAAAGUAGAACUUUGUACACGAUAAUAUACAUCCUAUUGGACUCAAUACUCAGUGUACACAUCGGCGCAGACCCAUCCCCUCAUCCUUUCUUGCUCUUUAUCAUUGAUUUUCAAGGACACUAGAGGGAGUCCUUGUUUGGGACUGCUGCCUUCCCGAUUAGCGCUGACUCUACCCCCUGUUCUGAUAUAUAUAAACAUGUAUUUACAUACAUAUAUAUAUGCGCCGUGUGCUUGUGCUUUAGGGUGCACACCCUAAUGCAAUAGGCUGCGCACGCCUAUGGUAACAACAGGAAAGGAGGAAUGAAUAUUUGUUUUUAAAUCAUUAUUAAUUUAAUAAAUCCCCUAUACAAUCACUACAUUCCUAUACACACAUACUAUACAUGGAUGACAGGGGGGGGAGCUGUGAAGGUUUUUCGCACAGGGCGCCUAAAGGCCUAAGGCCGGCCCUGCACAGACAUACAUAUUCUUACACAGAUACUUAACAGACUGACACACAGAGACGCACAUUUUGACACCGACAUACAUUGACACAGACAGAUAUAUGCAUACUAACUAAAACAUAACUUACAUAUUUUAGCCACCCCCUGUUUCCAUACCUAUUGGGUGCAGGAGGGUGGCUUCCCUGGAGUCCAGCCAUGUGAUCUGGGAGUCUGAGGCUUAUAAAACUCUGGUUAAAGCUCUCUGUCUGCUCCUUCCUCUCUUCCCCUACUCUCU
rnacentral:lncRNA from 1 species